AGCGAACGCUGGCGGCAGGCUUAACACAUGCAAGUCGAACGCCCCGCAAGGGGAGUGGCAGACGGGUGAGUAACACGUGGGAACGUACCCUUUGGUUCGGAAUAACUUUGGGAAACUCAAGCUAAUACCGGAUAAGCCAUUAUGGGGAAAGGUUUACUGCCGAAGGAUCGGCCCGCGUCUGAUUAGCUAGUUGGUGAUGUAAUGGCUCACCAAGGCGACGAUCAGUAGCUGGUCUGAGAGGAUGAUCAGCCACACUGGGACUGAGACACGGCCCAGACUCCUACGGGAGGCAGCAGUGGGGAAUGUUGGACAAUGGGGGCAACCCUGAUCCAGCCAUGCCGCGUGAGUGAUGAAGGCCUUAGGGUUGUAAAGCUCUUUUACCCGGGACGAUAAUGACUGUACCGGGAGAAUAAGCCCCGGCUAACUUCGUUCCAGCAGCCGCGGUAA
rnacentral:rRNA from 1 species